UAAUACGUAGGGGGCAAGCGUUGUCCGGAUUUAUUGGGCGUAAAGCGCACGCAGGCGGUCGAGGAAGUUCAGGGUGACAGUUCCCGGCUCAACUGGGGAAGGACCUUGAAAACUCCUGGACUUGAGGGCUUCAGAGGGACACGGAAUUCCGGGUGUAGUGGUGAAAUGCGUAGAUAUCCGGAGGAACACCAAAGGCGAAGGCAGUGUCCUGGGAAGUCUCUGACGCUCAGGUGCGAAAGCUAGGGGAGCGAACGGG
rnacentral:rRNA from 1 species